rnacentral:rRNA from 1 species
UACAGAGGGGGCAAGCGUUAUUCGGAAUUAUUGGGCGUAAAGGGCGCGUAGGCGGCCUGGCAAGUGGAAGGUGAAAUCCCUCGGCUUAACCGAGGAACUGCCCUCCAAACUGCUUGGCUUGAGUCCGGGAGAGGUGGAGUGGAAUUCCCAGUGUAGCGGUGAAAUGCGUAGAUAUUGGGAGGAACACCAGUGGCGAAGGCGGCUCACUGGACCGGAACUGACGCUGAGGCGCGAAAGCGUGGGGAGCAAACGGG